UUUGGUGGCGAUAGCGAAGAGGUCACACCCGUUCCCAUACCGAACACGGAAGUUAAGCUCUUCAGCGCUGAUGGUAGUUGGGGGUCUCCCCCUGUGAGAGUAGGACGCCGCCAAGC
rnacentral:rRNA from 1 species